UACGUAGGGUGCGAGCGUUGUCCGGAAUUAUUGGGCGUAAAGAGCUCGUAGGCGGUCUGUCGCGUCGGUCGUGAAAACUUGGGGCUUAACCCUGAGCUUGCGGUCGAUACGGGCAUGACUGGAGUUCGGUAGGGGAGACUGGAAUUCCUGGUGUAGCGGUGAAAUGCGCAGAUAUCAGGAGGAACACCGGUGGCGAAGGCGGGUCUCUGGGCCGAUACUGACGCUGAGGAGCGAAAGCGUGGGGAGCGAACAGG
rnacentral:rRNA from 1 species